rnacentral:rRNA from 1 species
GGCGAGUGAAGAGGGAAGAGCCCAAGAUUGAAAGCUGGCGCCUUCGGCGUCCGCAUUGUAAUCUCAAGAAGUGUUUUCCGCUUCGGACCAUGCCUAAGUCCCUUGGAAAAGGGCAUCAUAGAGGGUGAUAAUCCCGUACAUGGCAUGGAGCGCCCGAAGCUUUGUGAUACGCUUUCUAAGAGUCGAGUUGUUUGGGAAUGCAGCUCAAAAUGGGUGGUAAAUGCCAUCUAAGGCUAAAUAUUGGGGAGAGACCGAUAGCGAACAAGUACAGUGAUGGAAAGAUGAAAAGAACUUUGAAAAGAGAGUUAAACAGUACGUGAAAUUGCCAAAAGGGAAGGGUAGGAGGUCAGAGAUGCGUCGCAGGAUUCAGCCUUGCUUUUGCUUGGUGUUUUUCCUGCGUUGCAGGCCAACGUCGGUUUUGGGCACUGGAGAAGGGUAGGAGGAACGUGGCACCUCUCGGGGUGUGUUAUAGCCUCCUACUGGAUACAGCGACCGAGACCGAGGAACGCAGCGUACUCGUAAGAGCGGGCCUUUUGGCACCUUUACGCUUAGGGCGUUGGCAUAAUGGCCCUCUACCACCCGUCUUGAAA